CGCACCUUGCACCCUUUGGCAUUCCGAAGGGUACAUCUGUUUGAGUGUCAUGAAUACCUCAACCACUGCAUUUGCUGUAUGGCGAACGCAGGCGGUUGGAUGUUGAGCGCUGCUGGCUUUGUUGCACAGCUCGUUCCAAAUGCAUCAGCGAUCCCUUUCCAUUUCGGAUUGACCCAAUGUGAUAAGCCAUUCUUCAUUGGGGACGCCUCUUGUCAGGCGGCCGAACCGCAAAGGGCAGCUUCUAAACCCAACACCCCCCUUUUAAAUUUUAGACCUCAAAUCAGAUGGGACUACCCGCUGAACUUAA
rnacentral:misc_RNA from 1 species